AGCGAACGCUGGCGGCAUGCCUAACACAUGCAAGUCGCACGGGGGGGCUUCGGCCUCCCAGUGGCGGACGGGUGAGGAACGCGUAGGGACCUGUCGAGGGGUGGGGGAUAACCUCGGGAAACUGCGGCUAAUACCGCAUGACGCCGCGGCGUGACAGCCGGGGCCAAAGGCGAAAGCCGCCCGCCGAGGGGCCUGCGUCCGAUUAGCUGGUUGGCGGGGUAGCUGCCCACCAAGGCGUCGAUCGGUAGCUGGUCUGAGAGGGUGAUCAGCCACACCGGGACUGAGACACGGCCCGGACUCCUACGGGAGGCAGCAGUGGGGAAUAUUGGACAGUGGGCGCAAGCCUGAUCCAGCAAUGCCGCGUGGGUGAAGAAGGUCUUCGGAUUGUAAAGCCCUUUCGGCGGGGACGAUGGUGACGGUACCCGCAGAAGAAGCCCCGGCUAACUUCGU
rnacentral:rRNA from 1 species